rnacentral:rRNA from 1 species
UACGUAGGGUGCGAGCGUUAAUCGGAAUUACUGGGCGUAAAGCGUGCGCAGGCGGUUUUGUAAGCCAGAUGUGAAAUCCCCGGGCUUAACCUGGGAAUGGCAUUUGAUACUCGAGGGCUUGAGUACGGGAGAGGAGAGUGGAAUUCCCAGUGUAGAGGUGAAAUUCGUGAGAUAGUUGGGAAGAACACCGGUGGCCGAAGGCGGCUCUCUGGACCGUAACUGGACGCUGAGGCGCGAAAGC